rnacentral:lncRNA from 1 species
UUUAAUGACCACUUUUGUUCAGGAAUGAUUCAUACCUAUGAACCACCCAAAGUCGUUUUAUUAGUCAUGGGUGCUAGGCAGCUCCUAAAAAAUCCAUGCCAUUUUGAAGACAAGCUCUUCUAUUUCACUGGAUAAGAUUGUGGUCUGGGUACCUCUGGCAAGCACUCCAGGAUCUGUAAGGGCACACAAGGAAACUAAAAUGAAGAUCAGAGUUAAAUGUUUGGGCCAUUCCUCUCUGAAGAAAAGCUGAGCAUAAGUCUUUGCUGUUUCAUUAUAAUUACUCUUUAGUUGAAUACAAACAAAAAGAGACCCUUAACAGAAGGAAUUUGUGUCCCUUCUUAGACACAAACUCACAGUAUUUUCUUCUUUAUGGACAGUGUCUUGCUUAUCAAUUUGUAAGACCGGUUCUGUUCUGGGUUCUGUUCAGCUAGGAGGAAUCCAAGUCACUCAGAAAGGCCAAAGCUAUUGGUCAUGAGCUACUUCUAGUGACCAAAUGGCAGAGGAUGCCCAUGCAUACACCCCACACCUACAUUAGCACCUGUACCUGUAUUUUAGUUCAGAUCAACAGUGCAACAGCUUUCCAAGCAAAUCUUCUCACUCACUGUCGUUUGAUUUCCAUGGAGGAGCAGAUGAGACUGAACUGGAAGAUGCUCUUCAACUGCCUGUGAGAGUGUGCUCUGAGUCUAGUUCAGCCAGCAUCAACUGUACCCAGAUGGCAUAAAGUCAGUGUUAUUUAGUGCUCUUGAUUCAGACAGCUGACAAUUCCACUUUUUGUAUCUAUUUAUUUUAGGUGCUUUGGGGAUGAGCUUUUCUACCCGAGGGCAGUAACAGGAUGCUUUUGCUUCCCACAAGUGUGCUGCUGGGAAAGGAGCCCCUCCACUUCAUGGUUGCUCUGACCCGGAUGUUCUGCCAGUUCACAGCCCACGUCUUCGCUCUUCCUCUCCUACCCACGCGUGUGACCAGCACCGCUGCCACCACACUGCCCCACUGCCUGAAAUGCUUGUGUAUGCCAUCAUCUCCUCGUAGUGCAGCAGGUGGACAUCCUGCUCUGGGGGCUGACACAGGCUAAGCGGCAUCUUCUUUCUUACAGAGAAGCACAACCCCGUCAGCUACGAUUUUAAAUACCUGGUGAUGAAAAUUUAUCUCCGUACCUAGACAAAAGGUACGUCUUCCAUAAACAUGCUGAAGAUUUUUUUUUAUUUUUUUUUCCUGUCUGGUCCCCUUUGUUUAUUUGGCACUUGUCUCCUCUUUCUUCUUAGCAUAAUCUUUUCAUUAUCUGUGAGAAGUCUUGUUCCCGAA